rnacentral:lncRNA from 1 species
CCAGGGGAUUCACAAGCACACUAAAGUUUGAGACGCAUGGGCUUGGAUGACUCCUUUAUAGUAAGGUCACAAUGAAUAAACAAAAUCUGAUUCAGAGACUAUGCCAAGCCAGGUGAUAAGAUCUUGAAGAACCAAGAUCCAGAGAGAAGUGAAAGGAAUCAGUGUUCCAUGGAACGGAAGUGCAUCAGGAAAGGAAAGAGAAAACAGAUUCAGACUAAAGCACGUGCCUGACAAUGUGUCUGCUGCAUUGCAUGAGGCAGCCUUGCUGCAGCCAACCAUAGUGGGCUUCAAGAAAGGCCUCCUCUGCUAAAAAUGCUCUCUGAUUAGCCAUUCACUGCUUCCUGAACUAUGAAGACAUCUUCUAGGAAUACUCAGGAUCUUCUGCUAUGUGGCUUUAAUUUAUUUUAAGAUUAAUUCCUCAUUACCUUCUUACACAAAGCCACCAUUAGCAUAUCAAGCACAGCUGUACAAAUUUUUAAAAGGCCAAAAGAUGUAUCUGCCAAUUCUAGGAGGAUAUAAACCUGAAGGCACAAAUCUGGGCUGGAGCACAUGGUUUCCCUUGUGAGAAGAAAAAGUCUCCUUCCUCUGAAUGGACACACCUUGCACACCAGGGCACAAGGUUUGUCUAGAAGAGCACAGCUGAACAUCAUAAAGUGCAGAACCACACACCUGGCAUCCUUGUCCCUACACAAGGUAUGUUGCUGUUAAAGUAUAAUUUGUUACUCUCCAAAGCACACUCACAAUUCCCUACUUGGGUCCCUUGUUGCAUGUUACUGCUCCUCAUUUAUGCAUUUGGAUGCUUUCUUAUAUUUUUCCUCAACCUCUACCACAUUCAGUUAGGCACUCAGCCUAUAUUUCAUGUAUACCUAUGUAGCAGGUCUUAUGACCAGAGUUGGGGAUGCACAGAAAUUGCAGAUUUCUUAUUCAUGACAUUACUUCUCAUCCCCACAACUCAAUAUGAUAAUUCCUUUCCC